ACAACAUCUGGACCGGAGGUCUACCGAGCAAUAUCACCCGCUCGGUGGAAGAUCUUCCCUCCGUCGU
rnacentral:pre_miRNA from 1 species